CCACGUGUCAUUGUUUCUCGCUCUCCUUCUUGUCGCCUCCCUCCUCUCCUUCUCUUCGUCUUCUCCUUCUCUACUUCUCUCUCGACGGCCACUACACCAGAGGACACGACCGUGUCAGGAGCUUCACCACAAGAACGAAGAAUCUAUUUAAAACGCAUCCACUGCCCAAACUUUCUCUCAUCUACGAACCAACCAGCCAAGCCAGCCUCUUGAGGUUUCCGAAGAGCAGCUUAUGGCUUCGAGAAGAAUUAACAAGGAGCUUAGGGACCUGCAAAAGAACCCUCCUGUGUCUUGCAGUGCCGAUAUGCUUUCAAGUGUCACCGGAAAUCCGAGGAUGGAAGGGACAUUGUCUACCCCGUAAAUGCGAUCGCCUUCCAUCCGAUUUAUGGAACUUUUGCUACGGGAGGUUGUGACGGUUUCAUCAACGUUUGGGAUGGUAACAACAAGAAGAGUAUAUCAGGUUUAGCAGUGACAACAACUUGCGUUGUUUCUUCUGAUUAUAGCUCAAGCUAAUGUGUCUAGUUAGUGAAAACUGAAUCUUUUUGAUGCAUAUCCACACUUAAGUAUUUAUCAACAUUAUACUAAGAAACAACAUAAAAGUUUCUACCAAUAUUCUGUAUAUUUGCUUGUGUUUCUUAGUAUUGUCUCUUAAUAAUCAAAAUAUAAUAAUAAAAAAUGCUAAGA